UGGCCCAGUGGGUAGAGUGAUGCACUUUGAGUUUGGCGUGAGGGAAGUGAGGGGCGCGUAGGUUCGAACCCCCCUCUCGGAACUCACAAAAACCUUGAAAGAGCAUCCCUCCAUCACCAUGUGUGAUGGAACUGCCCACGGGGAGGAGGGGAGGUGAGUGCGCAGCACCUCCCUACCCCUCCCCAGGGGAGUAAGGCACCGCCUUACCGGCCCCCGGGAGAGCAAGGGAGGUGAGUGCACAGCGCUUCCCUUCUCUCCCCUACCUAACCCUGGCAAGUCUACGGACUACCAGGCAAAAAAUAAUAAAAAAAUAAAUAAAUAAAAAAUAAAAAAUAAAAAAAUAAAUAAAUAAGGGUAAGUGCAUAGCACUUCUCUUCUCUCCACCUAACAGAAUAAAAAAUAUAAAGGUGAGUGCAUAGCACUUCCCUUCUCUUCCAACCUACCAGGCAAAAGAUAGAAAAAAAAUAAAUAAAGAAUUAAGGUGAGUGCAUAGCACUUCCCUUGUCUCCUAACCUACCUCGCAAAAAAAAAAAUAAAAUAAAAUAAAAUAAAAUAAAUAAAUAAAUAAAGAUAAAUAAAUAAAUAAAUAAAAAUAAAUAAAAACCUCCUUACCACCUCGGACCUCGGGAGAGCAAGGGAGGUGAGUGCACAGCACUUCCCUUCUCUCCCCAAGUCUACGGACUGCCAGACCAAAAAGAAUAAAAUAUAUAUAGGUAUAAAAAAUAAUAAUAAAAGUAAUAAAAAAAAGAUAAAUGAAAAAAUAAGUAAAUAAAACAAAACAAUAAAACUCCUACUCCCCCCUCAAUAAAAUUGACUGAGUCUGGCAAUCAACAAUGAAUAAUAAAAAUAAAACAA